rnacentral:rRNA from 1 species
UGCAGUCGAACGGUAACAGAUCUAGCUUGCUAGAUGCUGACGAGUGGCGCACGGGUGCGUAACGCGUAUGCAAUCUACCUAUAACUGAGGGAUAGCCCAGAGAAAUUUGGAUUAAUACCUCAUAAUAUUAUUAUUUGGCAUCAUUUAAUAAUUAAAACUCCGGUGGUUAUAGAUGAGCAUGCGUUCUAUUAGCUAGUUGGUAAGGUAAGAGCUUACCAAGGCAACGAUAGAUAGGGGGCCUGAAAGGGUGAUCCCCCACACUGGUACUGAGACACGGACCAGACUCCUACGGGAGGCAGCAGUGAGGAAUAUUGGGCAAUGGGCGAAAGCCUGACCCAGCCAUGCCGCGUGCAGGAUGACGACCCUACGGGUUGUAAACUGCUUUUAUAUAGGAAGAAAAUACUCUUGCGAGAGGAUUUGACGGUACUAUACGAAUAAGGACCGGCUAACUCCGUGCCAGCAGCCGCGGUAAUACGGAGGGUUCAAGCGUUUUCCGGAUUUAUUGGGUUUAAAGGGUGCGUAGGUGGUUUAUUAAGUCGGUGGUGAAAUCCUGCAGCUCAACUGUAGAACUGCCAUUGAUACUGGUAAACUUGAGUUUGGUUUAGGUAAGUGGAAUUUAUGAUGUAGCGGUGAAAUGCAUAGAUAUCAUAAGGAACACCAAUAGCGAAGGCAGCUUGCUGGACCAUAACUGACACUGAGGCACGAAAGCGUGGGUAGCGAACAGGAUUA